rnacentral:rRNA from 1 species
GACGAACGCUGGCGGCGUGUUUAACACAUGCAAGUCGAACGGAAAGGCCCUGCUUGCAGGGUACUCGAGUGGCGAACGGGUGAGUAACACGUGGGUGAUCUGCCCUGCACUUCGGGAUAAGCCUGGGAAACUGGGUCUAAUACCGGAUAGGAGCCAUUUUUAGUGUGAUGGUUGGAAAGUUUUUUCGGUGUAGGAUGAGCUCGCGGCCUAUCAGCUUGUUGGUGGGGUAAUGGCCUACCAAGGCGGCGACGGGUAGCCGGCCUGAGAGGGUGGACGGCCACAUUGGGACUGAGAUACGGCCCAGACUCCUACGGGAGGCAGCGGUGGGGAAUAUUGCACAAUGGGCGCAAGCCUGAUGCAGCGACGCCGCGUGGGGGAUGACGGCCUUCGGGUUGUAAACUCCUUUCGCUAGGGACGAAGCUUUUUGUGACGGUACCUAGAUAAGAAGCACCGGCUAACUACGUG